GAUGAACGCUGGCGGCGUGCCUAAUACAUGCAAGUCGAGCGAACGGACGAGAAGCUUGCUUCUCUGAUGUUAGCGGCGGACGGGUGAGUAACACGUGGAUAACCUACCUAUAAGACUGGGAUAACUUCGGGAAACCGGAGCUAAUACCGGAUAAUAUUUUGAACCGCAUGGUUCAAAAGUGAAAGACGGUCUUGCUGUCACUUAUAGAUGGAUCCGCGCUGCAUUAGCUAGUUGGUAAGGUAACGGCUUACCAAGGCAACGAUGCAUAGCCGACCUGAGAGGGUGAUCGGCCACACUGGAACUGGGACACGGUCCAGACUCCUACGGGAGGCAGCAGUAGGGAAUCUUCCGCAAUAGGCAAAAGCCUGACGGAGCAACGCCGCGUGAGUGAUGAAGGUCUUCGGAUCGUAAAACUCUGUUAUUAGGGAAGAACAUAUGUGUAAGUAACUGUGCACAUCUUGACGGUACCUAAUCAGAAAGCCACGGCUAACUACGUG
rnacentral:rRNA from 1 species